CAGGCUUAACACAUGCAAGUCGAGGGGCAGCAUGGUCUUAGCUCGCUAAGGCCGAUGGCGACCGGCGCACGGGUGAGUAACACGUAUCCAACCUGCCGUCUACUCUUGGACAGCCUCCUGAAAGGAAGAUUAAUACAAGAUGGCAUCAUGAGUCCGCAUGUUCACAUGAUUAAAGGUAUUCCGGUAGACGAUGGGGAUGCGUUCCAUUAGAUAGUAGGCGGGGUAACGGCCCACCUAGUCUUCGAUGGAUAGGGGUUCUGAGAGGAAGGUCCCCCACAUUGGAACUGAGACACGGUCCAAACUCCUACGGGAGGCAGCAGUGAGGAAUAUUGGUCAAUGGGCGCAGGCCUGAACCAGCCAAGUAGCGUGAAGGAUGACUGCCCUAUGGGUUGUAAACUUCUUUUAUAAAGGAAUAAAGUCGGGUAUGGAUACCCGUUUGCAUGUACUUUAUGAAUAAGGAUCGGCUAACUCCGUGCCAGCAGCCGCGGUAAUACGGAGGAUCCGAGCGUUAUCCGGAUUUAUUGGGUUUAAAGGGAGCGUAGAUGGAUGUUUAAGUCAGUUGUGAAAGUUUGCGGCUCAACCGUAAAAUUGCAGUUGAUACUGGAUAUCUUGAGUGCAGUUGAGGCAGGCGGAAUUCGUGGUGUAGCGGUGAAACGCUUAGAUAUCACGAAGAACUCCGAUUGCGAAGGCAGCCUGCUAAGCUGCAACUGACAUUGAGGCUCGAAAGUGUGGGUAUCAAACAGGAUUAGAUACCCUGGUAGUCCACACGGUAAACGAUGAAUACUCGCUGUUUGCGAUAUACGGCAAGCGGCCAAGCGAAAGCGUUAAGUAUUCCACCUGGGGAGUACGCCGGCAACGGUGAAACUCAAAGGAAUUGACGGGGGCCCGCACAAGCGGAGGAACAUGUGGUUUAAUUCGAUGAUACGCGAGGAACCUUACCCGGGCUUAAAUUGCAGAUGAAUUACGGUGAAAGCCGUAAGCCGCAAGGCAUCUGUGAAGGUGCUGCAUGGUUGUCGUCAGCUCGUGCCGUGAGGUGUCGGCUUAAGUGUCAUAACGAGCGCAACCCUUGUUGUCAGUUACUAACAGGUUCCGCUGAGGACUCUGACAAGACUGCCAUCGUAAGAUGUGAGGAAGGUGGGGAUGACGUCAAAUCAGCACGGCCCUUACGUCCGGGGCUACACACGUGUUACAAUGGGGGGUACAGAGGGCCGCUACCACGCGAGUGGAUGCCAAUCCCAAAAACCUCUCUCAGUUCGGACUGGAGUCUGCAACCCGACUCCACGAAGCUGGAUUCGCUAGUAAUCGCGCAUCAGCCACGGCGCGGUGGAUACGUUCCCGGGCCUUGUACACACCGCCCGUCAAGCCAUGGGAGCCGGGGGUACCUGAAGUGCGUAACCGCGAGGAGCGCCCUAGGGUAAAACUGGUGACUGGGGCUAAGU
rnacentral:rRNA from 1 species